UUAAAAUGUGAAUGAAUUCAAUUCUUUAAGCUAGUAUCAUUCCAAACACAUUUUACACAAGACCUUAUUUAUAAUUGAACAAGUCUUUUUUUAAUAUUUUUAUAUGCUCCCUAAACAACAAGAGAGAAAGUAGGAGAGAACAAGUCAUUUUUAAAUUAUUUCUUCUUUCUGUGAUUAUUGUUUUUCAGGUUCUGAUUGAACAGUUGACAUCUUCUCCUUUGAACAAUUUGAUUUUCAUGAUAUACUUCGGAUUAGUUAUUGAAGGUUGGUCAUUUUUAAAUAUAUAAUGUUUUCAUUUAAUUUUAGGAACAUGGAUAUAUACCAAGUCAAAUACAUAUGUAAAGUAUGGACAAAUAAAAUAAUUAUCAUCAGUGUCAAAAAUAGGGUACUCAAAGCAAAGACAUUCCUAUUCAACUAGUUUUGUUUUUGUAUAAGCCAAAAAGCCUAUUCAAAUAGUGAUUCAUUUAUUUAUUAAUAUUAUAAACAAACUGAACAAGUUAUCAAAAAUGAUAUGCU
rnacentral:lncRNA from 1 species